GUGUGGUUAAAUCCUUAGGACUUGUUUCAGUGUCAUAGAUAACAUAUAACCAAAUUGCUAAUACUGGCUUUAAACGCUGUUUCUGUUUUCUUUGGCCUUGCAGAUAUACAAGGAGCAGAAAAAUGAUCUAGCAGAAAAGUAGGGAAGACAAAAGUCUCUGUUUCUGAUAAAUUUCUUCUCUGAUUCUAAUCUAGAAUACUAAUCUUCUUUAAGACUUCAGAAAACAGCUUACAUUUGGGACCACAAAAUGGAAAAUGCUGAUGAAGCUGAGGGAAGUCAGGAUCUGGAGGCUCCAGAGGAAGACCUGGAUGACGAACAGCAAGCCUUGCUGCACUUAAGCAAACAUGGAGAAAGACGGCGUGCGCUACCAUGGGAGCAGUGGACCUUUAGAGAAAAGGCAAACUAUUGCAUGGAUCGCAUCUUCCUUUGCUUUUUAGUUCUCUUUCUAGUGAUGUUGCUGUGUGAAUUUGGCUAUAAAAUGGGGUAUGUGUUAAAUGCAAAGAAGAUAGCAGAGUUUAUGUCCGACUCUGUCAUUUUUAUUAUUAACUGGCUCUUCACUCAGGAAAAACAGGAGGAACUGGUUGAAUUAUAGGAUGUGAAUAAAGGUGAUCAUUCCAUUAUAUCUCUCAUUUCUGUAUUGUAUGUAGUAUUUACUUUGUAGUAAUACUAUUCCAUCAGAUCUACAGCCCAAUUUUAAGUAAUAAAGAAAAAACAUUACUAUUUUAUUUGUGAUGUAUGUAAGAACUCAACUGCAUUUAAGAAUAUUACUAUUUUCAACUUGAUGCCAACAUUUGUUAUUAUUUAAAGUCAUGCUUGUCUCUGGUGUAAAUGAUAAACACGUUUGAUUUUAUCAAGACAAAACAAAACAGGUAUUCAUUAGAAAUUCCCACUCUUUUAAAGACUAACCCUGGCAUUUCUGCAAGGAAUAUAAAUUCAACGUAUAAAUUUACAAUCAGUAUGAUUAUUAAUAACACUCUGUCUACAUACAUUUUUGGGGGUAAAAAAAACAUAUAACAGUGAGGAGGAACACUGGUAUGUUUUAAAUUCUCUUACAUGUUUUUCAGUAAACAAGAAUAAAAAUGAUUU